rnacentral:rRNA from 1 species
UACGGGGGGGGCAAGCGUUGUUCGGAAUUACUGGGCGUAAAGGGCUCGUAGGCGGCCAACUAAGUCAGACGUGAAAUCCCUCGGCUUAACCGGGGAACUGCGUCUGAUACUGGAUGGCUUGAGUUUGGGAGAGGGAUGCGGAAUUCCAGGUGUAGCGGUGAAAUGCGUAGAUAUCAGGAGGAACACCCAUGGCGAAGGCAGCUUCCUGGCCCAAUUCUGACGCUGAGGUGCGAAAGCGUGGGUAGCGAACGGG